rnacentral:lncRNA from 1 species
UACCUUUCAAUUUGCUGUAAUCUCUUUGUCCUCCAAGAAACCCAUCGGUCGAGAUGAACAGCGACCCAACAUUGUUGAGAAACACCACAACUAUGGUGAACACCGCCAAAAUCCACAGAAAUUAAUGUUUAGAAAACGUACGCCCAUCAAUAACAACCUCCGAAGGCCUAAAUGCGUGGAAGCAAAAAAAAGAAGAAGAUAUUUUGAAGUUCAAUAAUGUCCAUUAAUCAGGAGCUUUUCUUGGACUAAUAGAAAAUGAAAAGGGAUGGUAAUAAAAGUAGCAGAACAAGGUAAGGUGAGGAUGGCUUUAUGAGAUUCGAAGAUAUUUACUGAUGAACAGUACGAAACCAGCUUGUAAACAAUGAUUAUCCAGUUAAGGUGUGAAAUCGAGUGCUAC